GAUAUGAACCGUUAUAACCGGCGAUACCCGAAUGGGGAAACCCAGUGUGACUCGUCACACUAUCAUUAACUGAAUCCAUAGGUUAAUGAGGCGAACCGGGGGAACUGAAACAUCUAAGUACCCCGAGGAAAAGAAAUCAACCGAGAUUCCCCCAGUAGCGGCGAGCGAACGGGGAGGAGCCCAGAGCCUGAAUCAGCAUGUGUGUUAGUGGAAGCGUCUGGAAAGGCGCGCGAUACAGGGUGACAGCCCCGUACACAAAAGCGCAUGUGCUGUGAGCUCGAUGAGUAGGGCGGGACACGUGGUAUCCUGUCUGAAUAUGGGGGGACCAUCCUCCAAGGCUAAAUACUCCUGACUGACCGAUAGUGAACCAGUACCGUGAGGGAAAGGCGAAAAGAACCCCGGCGAGGGGAGUGAAAAAGAACCUGAAACCGUGUACGUACAAGCAGUGGGAGCACAGGUUUACCUGUGUGACUGCGUACCUUUUGUAUAAUGGGUCAGCGACUUAUAUUCUGUAGCAAGGUUAACCGUAUAGGGGAGCCGUAGGGAAACCGAGUCUUAACCGGGCGUUAAGUUGCAGGGUAUAGACCCGAAACCCGGUGAUCUAGCCAUGGGCAGGUUGAAGGUUGGGUAACACUAACUGGAGGACCGAACCGACUAAUGUUGAAAAAUUAGCGGAUGACCUGUGGCUGGGGGUGAAAGGCCAAUCAAACCGGGAGAUAGCUGGUUCUCCCCGAAAGCUAUUUAGGUAGCGCCUCGUGAAUUCAUCUCCGGGGGUAGAGCACUGUUUCGGCUAGGGGGCCAUCCCGGCUUACCAACCCGAUGCAAACUGCGAAUACCGGAGAAUGUUAUCACGGGAGACACACGGCGGGUGCUAACGUCCGUCGUGAAGAGGGAAACAACCCAGACCGCCAGCUAAGGUCCCAAAGUCAUGGUUAAGUGGGAAACGAUGUGGGAAGGCCCAGACAGCCAGGAUGUUGGCUUAGAAGCAGCCAUCAUUUAAAGAAAGCGUAAUAGCUCACUGGUCGAGUCGGCCUGCGCGGAAGAUGUAACGGGGCUAAACCAUGCACCGAAGCUGCGGCAGCGACGCUGAUGCGUUGUUGGGUAGGGGAGCGUUCUGUAAGCCUGUGAAGGUGGCCUGUGAGGGUUGCUGGAGGUAUCAGAAGUGCGAAUGCUGACAUAAGUAACGAUAAAGCGGGUGAAAAGCCCGCUCGCCGGAAGACCAAGGGUUCCUGUCCAACGUUAAUCGGGGCAGGGUGAGUCGACCCCUAAGGCGAGGCCGAAAGGCGUAGUCGAUGGGAAACGGGUUAAUAUUCCCGUACUUGGUGUUACUGCGAAGGGGGGACGGAGAAGGCUAUGUUGGCCGGGCGACGGUUGUCCCGGUUUAAGCGUGUAGGUGUGUGUUCCAGGUAAAUCCGGUUCACUUUAACACUGAGGCGUGAUGACGAGGCACUACGGUGCUGAAGCAACAA
rnacentral:rRNA from 1 species